rnacentral:tRNA from 1 species
GUUUUGAUAGUUUAAGUGAAAACUUCGGUCUUGUAAACCGAAAUUGAAAUAUGUAUUUCUCAACACA